UUAAGCGACUAAGCGUACACGGUGGAUGCCCUGGCAGUCAGAGGCGAUGAAGGACGUGCUAAUCUGCGAUAAGCGUCGGUAAGGUGAUAUGAACCGUUAUAACCGGCGAUUUCCGAAUGGGGAAACCCAGUGUGUUUCGACACACUAUCAUUAACUGAAUCCAUAGGUUAAUGAGGCGAACCGGGGGAACUGAAACAUCUAAGUACCCCGAGGAAAA
rnacentral:rRNA from 1 species